CGCGGGGUGGAGCAGUGGUAGCUCGUUGGGCUCAUAACCCAAAGGUCGGAGGUUCAAAUCCUUCCCCCGCAA
rnacentral:tRNA from 3 species